rnacentral:tRNA from 1 species
UAUAUUAUAAUUUAAUUAUAAAAAUAUAAAAUUUUCAAUUUUAAAAUAUAAUUUAAUUCGAAGUUAAAUCCAUUUAUUAUGG